CCCGCACAAGCGGUGGAGUAUGUGGUUUAAUUCGAUGCAACGCGAAGAACUUACCUGGUCUUGACAUCCCGGAGACCCUUAGGAAACUAGGGGGUGCUUCCAUCUGGAAGAAUCUGGAGACAGGUGCUGCAUGGCUGUCGUCAGCUCGUGUCGUGAGAUGUUGGGUUAAGUCCCGCAACGAGCGCAACCCUUGCCUUUAGUUGCCAGCAGUUCGGCUGGGCACUCUAAAGGGACUGCCGGUGUUAAACCGGAGGAAGGUGGGGAUGACGUCAAGUCCUCAUGGCCCUUAUGACCAGGGCUACACACGUACUACAAUGGCCGAUACAAAGGGCAGCGACACUGCGAGGUGAAGCCAAUCCCGUAAAAUCGGUCUCAGUCCGGAUUGGAGUCUGCAACUCGACUCCAUGAAGUUGGAAUCGCUAGUAAUCGUGGAUCAGCAUGCCACGGUGAAUACGUUCCCGGGCCUU
rnacentral:rRNA from 1 species